CGGGAGGCAGCAGUAGGGAAUCUUCCGCAAUGGACGAAAGUCUGACGGAGCAACGCCGCGUGAGUGAUGAAGGUUUUCGGAUCGUAAAACUCUGUUGUUAGGGAAGAACAAGUAUCGGAGUAACUGCCGGUACCUUGACGGUACCUAACCAGAAAGCCACGGCUAACUACGUGCCAGCAGCCGCGGUAAUACGUAGGUGGCAAGCGUUGUCCGGAAUUAUUGGGCGUAAAGCGCGCGCAGGCGGUCUCUUAAGUCUGAUGUGAAAGCCCCCGGCUCAACCGGGGAGGGUCAUUGGAAACUGGGGGACUUGAGUGCAGGAGAGAAGAGUGGAAUUCCACGUGUAGCGGUGAAAUGCGUAGAGAUGUGGAGGAACACCAGUGGCGAAGGCGACUCUUUGGCCUGUAACUGACACUGAGGCGCGAAAGCGUGGGGAGCAAACAGGAUUAGAUAUCCUGGUAGUCCACGCCGUAAACGAUGAGUGCUAAGUGUU
rnacentral:rRNA from 1 species